UACGGAGGGAGCUAGCGUUGUUCGGAAUUACUGGGCGUAAAGCGCACGUAGGCGGCUUUGUAAGUUAGAGGUGAAAGCCCGGGGCUCAACUCCGGAACUGCCUUUAAGACUGCAUCGCUUGAAUCCAGGAGAGGUGAGUGGAAUUCCGAGUGUAGAGGUGAAAUUCGUAGAUAUUCGGAAGAACACCAGUGGCGAAGGCGACUUACUGGACGAUUGUUGACGCUGAGGUGGCGAAAAGCGUGGGGAGCAAACAGG
rnacentral:rRNA from 1 species